UACGUAGGGUGCAAGCGUUGUCCGGAAUUAUUGGGCGUAAAGAGCUCGUAGGCGGUCUGUUGCGUCCGCUGUGAAAACUCGGGGCUUAACCCCGAGCCUGCAGUGGAUACGGGCAGACUAGAGGUAGGUAGGGGAGAAUGGAAUUCCCGGUGUAGCGGAGAAAUGCGCAGAUAUCGGGAGGAACACCGGUGGCGAAGGCGGUUCUCUGGGCCUUACCUGACGCUGAGGAGCGAAAGCGUGGGGAGCGAACAGG
rnacentral:rRNA from 1 species